GAACGCAUAUUGCACUUUCUGGUAUUCCGGAAAGUAUGCCUGUUUGAGGGUCAGUUAAAUAAAAAUCGGUGUUGUUACCGCUUUUCGUGGUGACGCGUCGGAAUUGAGUCGUCUUAUCUUCGGUUAAGUGACUUAAAAUUUUAUAUGAUUUUCGAACGUAUUUAAAUUUAUUUGAACGUUUGAUAUCGAAUGCUUUAUUAGGUUCGGUCAUCCUCAUGACUCGCGCCUAUAAUUUUUCAUUAAAUGACCUCAAAUCAGGUAAGAAUACCCGCUGAACUUAAGC
rnacentral:misc_RNA from 1 species